GGUUAAGCGACUAAGCGUACACGGUGGAUGCCUAGGCAAUCAGAGGCGAUGAAGGACGUGCUAAUCUGCGAUAAGCGUCGGUAAGGUGAUAUGAACCGUUAUAACCGACGAUUUCCGAAUGGGGAAACCCAGUGCAAUUCGUUGCACUAUCGUUUGAUGAAUACAUAGUCAAACGAAGCGAACCGAGGGAACUGAAACAUCUCAGUACCUCGAGGAAAAGAAAUCAACCGAGAUUCCCCUAGUAGCGGCGAGCGAACGGGGAGCAGCCCAGAGUCUUAAUCAGCAUUAGCAUCAGGAGAACGGUCUGGAAAGGCCGGCAGUAAAGGGUGAUAGCCCCGUAUCCGAAGGUGUUAGUGUUGUGAACUCGACGAGUAGGGCGGGACACGUGUUAUCCUGUCUGAAUAUGGGGGGACCAUCCUCCAAGGCUAAAUACUCCUGAUUGACCGAUAGUGAACCAGUACCGUGAGGGAAAGGCGAAAAGAACCCCGGCGAGGGGAGUGAAAUAGAACCUGAAACCGUGUACGUACAAGCAGUGGGAGCACUUUAUGGUGUGACUGCGUACCUUUUGUAUAAUGGGUCAGCGACUUAUAUUCUGUAGCAAGGUUAACCGUAUAGGGGAGCCGUAGGGAAACCGAGUCUUAACUGGGCGAAUGAGUUGCAGGGUAUAGACCCGAAACCCGGUGAUCUAGCCAUGGGCAGGUUGAAGGUUGGGUAACACUAACUGGAGGACCGAACCGACUAAUGUUGAAAAAUUAGCGGAUGACUUGUGGCUGGGGGUGAAAGGCCAAUCAAACCGGGAGAUAGCUGGUUUCCCCGAAAGCUAUUUAGGUAGCGCCUCGUGAACUCAUCUUCGGGGGUAGAGCACUGUUUCGACUAGGGGGUCAUCCCGACUUACCAACUCGAUGCAAACUACGAAUACCGAAGAAUGUUAUCACGGGAGACACACGGCGGGUGCUAACGUUCGUCGUGAAGAGGGAAACAACCCAGACCGCCAGCUAAGGUCCCAAAGUCAUAGUUAAGUGGGAAACGAAGUGGGAAGGCUCAGACAGCCAGGAUGUUGGCUUAGAAGCAGCCAUCAUUUAAAGAAAGCGUAAUAGCUCACUGGUCGAGUCGGCCUGCGCGGAAGAUGUAACGGGGCUAAACUAUGCACCGAAGCUGCGGCAGCGAUAUGUAAAUAUUGUUGGGUAGGGGAGCGUUCUGUAAGCCUGUGAAGGUGUACUGUGAGGUAUGCUGGAGGUAUCAGAAGUGCGAAUGCUGACAUAAGUAACGAUAAUGCGGGUGAAAAACCCGCACGCCGGAAGACCAAGGGUUCCUGUCCAACGUUAAUCGGGGCAGGGUGAGUCGACCCCUAAGGCGAGGCAGAAAUGCGUAGUCGAUGGGAAACGGGUUAAUAUUCCCGUACUGGUGAUAAUUGCGAUGGGGGGACGGAGAAGGUUAGGCUAGCCGGGCGACGGUUGUCCCGGUUUAAGGAUGUAGGCAGGUGAAUUAGGCAAAUCCGGUUCACUAUAUGCUGAGGUCUGAUGACGAGUCACUACGGUGGCGAAGUAGCUCAUACCCCGCUUCCAGGAAAAGCCUCUAAGCUCUAGAUUAUCAUUAAUCGUACCCCAAACCGACACAGGUGGUCAGGUAGAGAAUACUCAGGCGCUUGAGAGAACUCGGGUGAAGGAACUAGGCAAAAUGGUGCCGUAACUUCGGGAGAAGGCACGCUGGCAUUAGGUGAAGUGAUUUACUCAUGGAGCUGAAGCCAGUCGCAGAUACCAGCUGGCUGCAACUGUUUAUUAAAAACACAGCACUGUGCAAACACGAAAGUGGACGUAUACGGUGUGACGCCUGCCCGGUGCUGGAAGGUUAAUUGAUGGGGUUAUCCGUAAGGAGAAGCUCUUGAUCGAAGCCCCAGUAAACGGCGGCCGUAACUAUAACGGUCCUAAGGUAGCGAAAUUCCUUGUCGGGUAAGUUCCGACCUGCACGAAUGGCGUAAUGAUGGCCAGGCUGUCUCCACCCGAGACUCAGUGAAAUUGAACUCGCUGUGAAGAUGCAGUGUACCCGCGGCAAGACGGAAAGACCCCGUGAACCUUUACUAUAGCUUGACACUGAACAUUGAGCCUUGAUGUGUAGGAUAGGUGGGAGGCUUUGAAGCGUGGACGCCAGUCUGCGUGGAGCCAACCUUGAAAUACCACCCUUUAAUGUUUGAUGUUCUAACGUAGCCCCAUUAUCUGGGGUGCGGACAGUGUCUGGUGGGUAGUUUGACUGGGGCGGUCUCCUCCCAAAGAGUAACGGAGGAGCACGAAGGUUGGCUAAGCAUGGUCGGACAUCAUGCGGUUAGUGCAAAGGCAUAAGCCAGCUUGACUGCGAGAGUGACGGCUCGAGCAGGUACGAAAGUAGGUCUUAGUGAUCCGGUGGUUCUGUAUGGAAGGGCCAUCGCUCAACGGAUAAAAGGUACUCCGGGGAUAACAGGCUGAUACCGCCCAAGAGUUCAUAUCGACGGCGGUGUUUGGCACCUCGAUGUCGGCUCAUCACAUCCUGGGGCUGAAGUAGGUCCCAAGGGUACGGCUGUUCGCCGUUUAAAGUGGUACGCGAGCUGGGUUUAGAACGUCGUGAGACAGUUCGGUCCCUAUCUGCCGUGGGCGUUGGAAGAUUGAAAGGGGCUGCUCCUAGUACGAGAGGACCGGAGUGGACGCACCACUGGUGUUCGGGUUGUCAUGCCAAUGGCAUUGCCCGGUAGCUAAGUGCGGAAGAGAUAACCGCUGAAAGCAUCUAAGCGGGAAACUUGCCUUGAGAUGAGUCUUCCCUGACUCUUUAAGGGUCCUAAAGGAACGUUUAAGACUAAGACGUUGAUAGGUUGGGUGUGUAAGCGUAGCGAUACGUUGAGCUAACCAAUACUAAUGAACCGUGAGGCUUAACCUG
rnacentral:rRNA from 1 species